UGCGCUCGUUCGGCUGCAACCAGUGGUUGGAACACAAGACAAGUGUCACAGAGUCAAAAUCGAGUCUAUUAACAUGCAGGCAUUCUCAGGGAGUAAUAAUCAGCCGCACGCACCUCGAAACGUAACUUGACAAGAAGCUCUAUCUUUAAAGACCUCAAUUUACACCAAGAGAAUACCUUUAAUUAUUGUAUGUAACUUAGUUCUACGCCUGAAAUCAUGAAUACAAUAAAACAACACGUAUUGUACAAAAGUGUCAGGUUAAAUAAUUUAAGGGGGUGUCCUAAUCGAUUUCGAUGUGUCUUGCAUAUGUACCUUCAAAUAUCAAAGUCUACGUAUCUCAAACGCAAAAAUGGUCUUAACAGCCCCAUUGUAUACAAAAUUCUGAAUAAACACACACCAACACAUUUUCAUUCGACGCAGAAAUAAAGAAAUGGCAUAGUUUCUAUGUAAUCUCAAUGGUAAAUUCAUAGAAUUUAUGCCAUUUCUUUAUUUCUGCGUAGAAUGAAACUAUAAUGGAGUAUUCUUGGUCAGAAUUGCAUAUAAAAUGGUCUUGUUAAGCCCUUUUUCGCGUUUGAGAUACGUGGACUUCAAUGUUUGGAGAUAUACAUAUACGUUAACAUCGAAAUCGACGAGGGCACCCCCUUAAAUUAUCCGGAGUAAAAAAAAUUGUAUGCACAGAAAAAAAAACGUCGAGGCGAAAGCAUUCAAUUUUACAAACACGGAAAAACGUAAAGAAUGUGAUAUUUUUGGGAUAGAGAAUUUAUUAUUUGUAAAAUACUUAUUAAAAGCUCGAACAACUGCAAACCAAAAAAACCGGAAACGACAAGUAAAUCGAUAAGACAUAGUGGAAAAAAGGUUUGAAAAAAAAAAAAUUGCAUUUCUCUGCUAUAGUUUUUGAAUCGUUGACCCUCGUUAUUAAGAACGAUGCGAAAGCGUUUUCCUUCCGGAGACGUAAAUAUGGCACAUACGGAAUUGAUUUUUCUCGAAAUCAGCCGAUGAUUUGAAAAGGAUAAGAGGCCUUAGCUUUCGCUAUAGACAAGGAACUUCUUGUCUCCAGAUCGAUUUGUAUCCACCCUCUCACAAUAGCCAGGACUUCUUAAGAUCGAACAAUUAAGUAGUCAACUAGGGAAUGCAAUGAGAUUUGUGUAGUGCCAUUAAAAUUCUUAUUCGCAGUGACGUCGGAAUAGUUAAGAUUGUUUCCUCUUGAAACAUAACGUCGACGUGGCUUAUUGGAGAAUCCAUUCUAGCAACGUUAAACAUAACUGAAAUCUUCGUCAAGUAUGAAAACAUAAUUUUAUGCUGAACUUUUUUCGAUUUACUUAAUUCUACAUUGCAAAAGGAUGGGAGUAAUCCUAUGAAAGUCAUUCUGCUUCGACAUUUUUAGAGCCCGAAAUCUAUCCGUCGAAUAAUCGAUAGAACGCGAUAGAAAUCGGGUAGAACACGUUUCCGAAUGAUUGUCCUUAGAAAUCCGAAGGGGACAUCUAGAACACCGCAAAUUCAAUGUCUGAGAAAACACAAAGGGAAUACUUAGAUAUUUUUUUCGGGCGUAAUUUUUGACCCGCUGUUCGCAGCGAGUUUACACGGUGCGCAAUGGAUUUCUAUCAAGAAAUUACUUCCAUAUGGCGUCUGAAUGAAUUACUUUCGACAUUUUUCAAAAUCAGCGAAGAAUGAAUCGAAAAAAUACAAAGAGGUUAAUUUUCUUUUUUGUCUCAGAAUCAAUUCAAAUAACCCCGUCUGGUCGAAUUGGACUCCAAGGAAUGCAGAAAAGGCAUUGAAAAAUAUCGAAGGGUCGACAGCUCGAGAAAUUACAGAGGAAACCUUUCGUUUUUUUACUGUAAUUUUUGCUGUUUACAGAGAGUUUAGACUAUGCGAAAUCGAUUACUCUCGCAAAAUUAUGUCGAUAUAGCAUAUGAGGAAAUGCAUUCCAGCUAUUUUCAGAGAUCACGAAAAACGGACUGAAAAGAUACAAAGGGGUUAAACUUAAGUUUUUUGUCGAGGCAAAAACUUUUUGUCUCAGAAUCGAUUAAGAUGACAUCUAGAUUAAUUGGAUCUCGAGGUAUUUAGAAAGGUAUUUGAAACAUCGAAGUACCAACGGCUGAGAAACUACGAAGGUAAUGUGACAUUUUUCGAUUUUCCACUCUGAUUUACUGUUUGCAGUACGUUCAGACUGUACGCAAUCGAUUUUUGUCACAUAAAGACGUUGAUAUAAGAUCUCAAUGAAUUGAUUCCAUAGUUUUUUAAAAUCAGUUAAAAUUCAGCUGAAAAAUUCUCAAGAGCUUAGCCGUUUUUUUUCUUUAUUUUCUGGGGUCGAAUAUUUCUAGCCUGAGAAUCGAUUCGCAUGCUUCUCUUCAUAAUAAUUGGACACUUAACAAUAAGUAAUUCAGAAAAAACAUUCUGAACUAUGUACGAAUCUCAGCUGAGCGGUUGCAGCAAGAAUUUUCUUUGCUCCGUGGUAUAAUAGCGUUCAUUUUAUAGUAAAAUUAUCCGUAAUGCAGGAAUUUACUAAGUUUUAUAAAAACGAACAAAAGCACAUAUGUUUCAUGUCUGUUUGUAUAUGCACGUAUAUGUAUAGUUGUUUCAUUACAGAGUUUCAUUCACAUUCAAUAUAUUUAUUACAGAUUUUUCAGCGUUCUUUGUUGUUUGUUAUUAUGUAAUCGUAAGUUUAAUUUGUUGUCUUUUUCAUAUUAUGUACGAAUGUAUCAUCUAUUUUAUCCAUCAUAUUUCUCAUUUCAUUCAUAUAUCUUUUGCUCUUAUUUAGACAUCAUUUAUCUUUCGUGUUUAAUUCAUCUAUGAAAAUAAAGGUGACAAAAAUGUCAUCCGUAUAAGUCUGAUGUGAAUACGAAGAAGGAAUAUCGAAUAUGUAUGCUGAUAAUCUCACUGUCACACCAAGUUGAUACAGUCGGAGAAAUCUUAGUACAACAAUAUUUUAAAACAUGCGAGAAUAUCAUUCGCGUCAGACGCAGAUGUCAUUAUUAUAGAUGACGAUUCUACUUCAUUUCAUACUAUUGAAAUAUUGAUAAUUAUUACCUACAAUAUCAACAGUGAAAAAUAGGAAGGCACGAAAACACAACGAUAACAUUGAAAACGAAAAAAGGUGUGCAAAAACAGAAUGAGAACAUGAAAAAUUAAUUGGCGUCACGAUGAUCACGAUGAUAUUCUGAUGGUAGGAGUUUCAAAAUGUAAAAUGUAUACAUAUAGGCAUUAAUCCAAGAGAUGAUAUGAGACGGGGGUAUACGG